rnacentral:rRNA from 1 species
AUGGCACCGCCGCGACACGUGUGCGUGACCGGCGGCGGCGGGUUCAUCGCCUCGUGGCUCGUCAAGCUGCUCCUCUCCCGGGGCUACGCCGUCCACGCCACGCUCCGCGACCCAUGUGAUCCCAAGAACGCCCAUCUGAUGCUGCUGGACGGGGCGGCGGAGAACCUGCGGCUGUUCAAGGCCGACGUGCUCGACCGCGCCGCGCUGGCCGCCGCCGUCGAGGGGUGCGAGGGCGUCUUCCAUGUCGCGACCCCUGUGCCCGUGGAUAAGCUCGUCGAUCCUGAGUCGGAAGUAAUUAUGCCUGCUGUCAAGGGCACCUCGAAUAUUCUAGAAGUUUGUUCAACUAUGAAGGUUCAGAAAGUUGUGGUGGUGUCAUCCACUGCUUCUGUUCAUUUCAACCCGAACUGGCCUCAGGAUAAACCCAAAGAUGAGAGUUGCUGGUCGGACAAAAACGUGUGCAUGGAAAAUGAGCUUUGGUACUUUCUUGCAAAAACUGUUGCUGAAGAGACAUCCUGGGAAUAUGCAGAAAAGAAUGGGCUAGACAUCGUAACAGUAUGCCCUUGUAUUGUUUUUGGUCCACAACUACAACCUGUUGUCAAUACCACCAGCGAACUUCUUCUCUAUCUUAUAAAAGGAGGUCCUAACGCGAUGAACGACGUGAUGUGGGAGAUAGUCGAUGUCCGUGAUGUGGCUGAUGCUUUGCUUCUGGUAUACGAGAAACCAGAAUCAUCUGGAAGAUAUAUCAGUGCACCAAAUUACAUUACCACAAAAGCCAUGGUGGAAUUGCUAAGGAAGGCGCACCCUAACUACAAUUACGUGAAGUGCAAGACUGAUGUGGAACAUAACUCUCCCAUCUCACUGACCUCGUCGGAAAAAUUGAGAAAUCUGGGUUGGAAGCCAAGGAAAUUGGAGGAGACGCUCCUGGAUAGCAUCGAAUACUACCAGAAGACGGGGCUUCUGCAGGAUGCCGAUGGAGAGGGAUACUCGUACCACCUUCCUGAAAUGUUCAGCUUUUUUCAUGCUGCCGAGUAA